GGAAAAACAUAUUAUAUUAAUAAUUUAUACUUUAUUGGAGCAAACAUCCGGUCAAACGCUAGGUUUUGGUGAAAAUAAACUUCACCAGGAAUUACAUAAAAGUACACGCGUUCGAGUACGUUCGUGUCAUUUAGCGUCAUCUGCCGAAUGUCAGUAUUGUGAUUGUUAUGGUGACUCUUGCUCAACAAACAAAGCUGAAAGAAAGAUAGAUCAUUUUUACAACGGAAUAUUUGUGACCAAGAAUGAAUUUCGAAAAAUGUUACAAUUAGGGUCAAACCAUAAAAAAGUUGGCAAAAUAAAGAAAUUUAAGACUGCUGUUUCCUCCAGGAGUUGUGAACACAAAUUUAGAGGAGGCGGUUGUUGUGAAACGGUUAUUACACAUAUUGAGCCCUUGCAAAUUGAGUUAGAUGGCGUUAUAAGGACAGUUGUAAGAGCCGAUGGGAACACACAUCUUAUAUCAAAUCAAACUAUUGAAACUGGCAAAUGCCGCAGAUGUUCAGAAAGUACUUGUCGAUGUGGACCAAACAAUGAAAGCAGGUGUAUGGAAGAUAAGUUUAUUACUCAUAUUCUUGUCUUUGCAGAAAAUAACAAUUUUGAAUAUGAAUUUAUUUUUUAUGAAUUUAACAGAUUCUGCAGGUGUGUUCAUACAUGAGUGUUCUUCAUAGAUCGAUUAUUGUAGUGUAUGAGUGUUCUUCAUAGAUCGAUUAUUGUAGGGUAUGAGUGUUCUUCAUAGAUCGAUUAUUGUAGGGUUUGUAUUUUAGUUUUAUUAUCUACAAAUGAGUACUAUCUUAUGUAAACUUAUCUUGCAAUUCUACUUUAUUGUCAAUAAUUCCAGGUUUUAA